UCCCGCAAGCCUCAAGGCGUGGCCCGCCCCCCCCAAAAAAAAAACCAUCGUGAAUGCCACCACUUUUCCCCCACCAUCUCCAGCCUCAUGCUUGGACUCCCAGUGUCCACUCUUGUCCUUCUAGGGUUCCUUCUCUGCAUGAUGAUCAAAAUAAUCUAUUCACAACCUUCUAGCAGCUUCCCAUUACGUACUUGGAGUAAAAUACAAAUGUCUUCCUGUGGACUGUCUGGUCCUGGCUACCUAUCAUCUUUAUAUCCUGCCAUUUUAUACUCUCCGCUAGCUAUCAUGCUUUUUUUUUGGCCGCACUGCAUGGCUUGCAGGAUAGUUCUCCAAACAGGGAUCAAGUUUGGGCCCCGGCAGUGAAAGUGCCGUGUCCUAACCGCUGGACCACCAGGGAGUUCCCAAUCAUGCUUUUCUUUUUAUGCCACAGGGCUGUGGUGAGAAUUGAAUGAGUUAAUGUAAGUUCUUGGAAUGGUACCAGGAACAUGGCGGGCGAGAAUGAAUGAGGACAGGGCAAGGCUACUCAGAGGGGUGGUUGGUUGAGGACACAGGCUAGUGAAGAUCUAGGGAAGAUGUAUUCCCGGCACCAGAAAACAGCAGGUGACAAGGUCUCAAGGCAGGAAGGAACCUGGGUAUGACCCAGAAAGAGGAAGUGGCCACGUAGAAAUGUGCAGGCCAUGGAACAGAGUAUGGGAUUUUAUCCUCAGUAUAAAGGCACUGUUCUAGGUGAGACAGCAAAGCCUCUACCUCACAGAGCUGACACUCUAGAAGCAGAGAUGGAGCCUAAACAAGGAAACAAAAAUAUUUCAGAGCACGAGGAGAACUAUGAAGAAAAGCAGAGUCGGAGGGCGAGGAGGGAUGGAGAGAGAAGCAGCUGUUUUAGGAGUGGUGGUCGAAGAUCUCAUUGAGGAGAUAACCCUUGAGCAGACACAGGGAUGAUGGGACCAGGCCAGCCGGUCUCUCUAUGUGGUGAGUCCACAUGGAGAGUUUGGGCUUCCUCACCACAUGGUGGUCUCAGGACAGUCAGACUACUUAUAUGGGGGCUGAAGACUUCCAGAGGAAGUGUUCUGACUAGUAAUCUGGGAGCUACAUGGCCUUCUACGACCUGGCCUCAGAGGUAACACAACAUCAAUUCCACCCCUUCCCUGGGUUACCAGCGAGUCACAAGCCUGCCCAUAGUCAAGGCACAAGGUUCUAGAAGAGAAUGUGGAGUGGGAGAUGCUAUCGCAUCUUGGUAGGAGCAGAAAAUCUGCCGCAGAUGUAAACUGGCCUUUUGUAAGAGUCACCAGUUGGUUGUCUGCAAACGUGUGGCUGCAGAGUUGGGGACACAUCGAAUGCCAGAGUUUCUGAGUGAGUCUGGCUGGAAGGAGUCCUGGAAUGGUUUAUCAAGGGAACCUGAUCACAGGGAUGGAGGAGGGACUGGAGAUGCAGAAGGGGGAGGGUCCUGGAGCCAGAGCUGGCCCUGUCGAGGGGGCUGGAGUGUCACCCCCAUUUCCUGGGCAAGAAGGUCCCCUCAAGCUCCCUCUGCUGAUGAAUGCUUCUUCAGAAUAACACUGCCGCUUGUUCUGAGUCCCUCCUAUCACGACCGUGAAUCCUCACAGAGCUUUUACUGAAGCGGGGUAUGUGCUGGGCAGGCCAACAAAAGCGCGGGGUCCUGCUGGUGGCUGUAUUUCUUGUGCUCUCUAUUAACAGAUGGAUCAUCUGUUUAUGCGUCAGCCUUGCAAGCCCCUGCCUUGUGUGCAGACUUAC